CAAUAGCGUAUAUUAAAGUUGUUGCAGUUAAAAAGCUCGUAGUUGGAUUUCUGGUAGGAGCGACCGUGCCGAACUUGAUUGUUCGAGUAUUGUGUUGUCUUCAGCCAUCCUCGUGGAGAACUUUUCUAACAUUAACUUGUUGGGAUUGGGACCCGCGUCGUUUACUGUGAAAAAAUUAGAGUGUUUAAAGCAGGCAUUAGCUUGAAUACAUUAGCAUGGAAUAAUAAGAUAGGACUUUGGUACUAUUUUGUUGGUUUGCAUACCAAAUUAAUGAUCAACAGGAACAGUUUGAGGAUAUUCGUAUGAACAUGUCAGAGGUGAAAUUCUUGGAUUUUGAUCAGACGAACUACUGCGAAAGCAUUUGUCAAGGAUGUUUUCAUUAA
rnacentral:rRNA from 1 species